UGGGGAAUAUUGCGCAAUGGAGAAGAACUCUGACGCAGCAAUACCGCGUGAGCGAAGAAGGUUUUCGGAUCGUAAACUUCUAUCCUUGGUGAAGAUAAUGACGGUAGCCAAGAAGGAAGCCCCGGCUAACUACGUGCCAGCAGCCGCGGUAAUACGUAGGGGGCAAGCGUUGUCCGGAAUGAUUGGGCGUAAAGGGCGCGUAGGCGGCCUGGUAAGUCUGGAGUGAAAGUCCUGCUUUUAAGGUGGGAAUUGCUUUGGAUACUGCUGGGCUUGAGUGCAGGAGAGGUAAGUGGAAUUCCCGGUGUAGCGGUGAAAUGCGUAGAGAUCGGGAGGAACACCAGUGGCGAAGGCGACUUACUGGACUGUAACUGACGCUGAGGCGCGAAAGUGUGGGGAGCAAACA
rnacentral:rRNA from 1 species